rnacentral:tRNA from 2 species
GGGCAGGUAGUCUAGUUUGGUAUGAUUCCUGGUUCGGGACCAGGCGGUCGAGAGUUCAAAUCUCUCCCUGCCCACCA